CACAGAGGAACGCGGGGGAUGCUCAGUAGUGCAAGUUUUGCUGGCACAAGCUUCUCGUGUCUUCUACUCCCAUCUUACAUCUGACCAGCUCCUCACCUGUGUCAGGAGGACCCUACAUGGGAAGACUGAGCUCAGGACAUUUCACCCCUGAAGCAGGAGAGUAAUUCCACACUACAACCUCAACAGGAUCCUCAGCCACGCUGUGAGGCAGGUACCACUGGUUGUUUUGUUCCCAGCUCUGAAUGUGUGCUUGGAGGGAGGGAAAGUGGACGAUCUGAGAUGAGAAAGGGGCUGUGAUUCUUCCUCUCCUCCUUCACCACUCUCCAGACAAUGUAUAAGAGAAAACCAAUUUGUGCAGAAAAAACAGGAGCAAGGAGUUUCAGCACACUUG
rnacentral:lncRNA from 1 species